GCAUUGGUGUUUUAGUGGUAGAAUUCUAGCUUGCCAUGUUGGAGACCUGGGUUUGAUUCCCAGCCACAUACA
rnacentral:tRNA from 1 species